ACAGGCCUGAAAUCCCUGCGACUCUGGAGGCUGAGACUGUAGGAUCGCAACUUCAAGGCCAGCUUCAGCAAUUCGAGACCAUUGACAAAAAGGACUAGGGUUGUAACCUAGUGGUAAAGAGCCCCUAUAUUCUAUCCCAGAUGUGAUGGCCAGAGCUUGAACAACCACAGAGAGAUGAAACAAGGACGUUAAAUACUGAUGACAUGGACCAGGAUGGUAGAAUCAAAAGGCAGAAAUCUAGGACCCUAGUGAUACUGUGGAAAUACUUUUUCAAUACUGGACUCUUCUCUAUUAAAUAGAAAAACUUUUAAUAACUCA